rnacentral:rRNA from 1 species
AGGCAGCAGUGGGGAAUAUUGCACAAUGGGCGCAAGCCUGAUGCAGCGACGCCGCGUGCGGGAUGGAGGCCUUCGGGUUGUAAACCGCUUUUGUUCAAGAGCAAGGCACGGCUUCGGGCCGUGUUGAGUGGAUUGUUCGAAUAAGCACCGGCUAACUACGUGCC